GGAAUUCUCAAUAUUAAAGAACACACCUCUCCCUCUCUCUCUGUCCCCUGCCCCCUCCAGAACCAAGGAAACUGUGAAACUUCUCACACCAUAUAUUCACUCAGAGGAUGUAGCACUAAAGUCUUGCAUUCUGAUGUUAAAAAACAAGACCUACUGUACCCAGAUCAGUCUCCUUUCUUAAUGACUACAUUGUCUUUGAAUGAAUACAGUCAUGAGUAAGUCUAAUCAAUGGUAUGUAUUACUACUGUA
rnacentral:lncRNA from 1 species